CCUACGGGUGGCAGCAGUGAGGAAUAUUGGUCAAUGGGCGCAAGCCUGAACCAGCCAAGUCGCGUGAGGGAUGACGGCCCUACGGGUUGUAAACCUCUUUUGCCGGGGAGCAAGCCUGAGCACGUGUGCCCAGGCGGAGAGUACCCGGAGAAAAGGCAUCGGCUAACUCCGUGCUAGCAGCCGCGUGAAUACGGAGGAUGCGAGCGUUAUCCGGAUUUAUUGGGUUUAAAGGGUGCGCAGGCGGGCGGUUAAGCCGGCGGUAAAAAUUCAGGGCUCAACCCUUUCGAGCCGUCGAAACUGGGGGCCUUGAGUGGGCGAGAAGUAUGCGGAAUGCGUGGUGUAGCGGUGAAAUGCAUAGAUAUCACGCAGAACGCCGAUUGCGAAGGCAGCGUACCGGCGCCCGACUGACGCUGAGGCACGAAAGCGUGGGGAUCGAACAGGAUUAGAUACCCUUGUAGUC
rnacentral:rRNA from 1 species